ensembl:lncRNA
UAGGUAGUUCCCGGUUGCCAAGGGAACGGCUACCUUUCAGCCAAUCGGAACACAACACGUCCCUACGUCAUUGCUCUUUGACGUGAACAUCCCUACGUCAUUGCUCUUUGAUGCGAACAUCCCUACGUCAUUGCUCUUUGACGUGAACAUCCCUACGUCAUUGCUCUUUGAUGUGAACAUUCCUCAUAACUCCUCUGGAGUCCUUGACAGCUGCACGCAUUUUGCUCCUGGUCCUGCCUCAGUUCAUAAUCUUUUGAACACUGACAAUAGAACGAUUUAAAGUAUUUUAUCCAACAUUUAAAUCAAACAGGAGAAAUGGCUCAAGGACAUACAACAAAUCUGCCGGUUUCAGACCAGGGACAAGCAGAGUCAGCGGAACAGUACAACGCAGAAUAUAUGAACCUGAGGGAGAUCUCCGAAGUUCUCAAGUCUAUGCGCAUCAAAAUUUGCAUGAGCGGAAUAAAGGUCGCAGGAUGGGAAUCUUUGGUGGUUAAAAACGACAAGUAUGAGCAACACAGGCAGGAGGAAGGCAUGGCUAGGAGAAAAUGUGAAACCCUUCAAAAAGAGGUCAAGAGUGUCAUUGAUAAGGUCAAAAAUCAUCAACAUUUUCACUCAAUGUACAAAGAAAAAAAAGCCUCAAUCCAAGAACUGUCGUCCAAACAUGAAAAGCUGCAAGAACAACUGGAAAAGCAGCAGAAAAAGUUGGAGCACUUAAAACGCGAGGAGGCAAACGCUGCGUCCCUAACACAGGAACACGAUGAGUACGAGAGAAAAGUUAAGCUCCUGGAGACCGAACUGCAAAAGGUAACCAAUGAAUUUAACCUUUUUUCAGAGGCCAGUAAACGAGACGCCCAUCAUCUUAAUGAGAAGAAGAAGUCUAUGGAACGUACGGUGGAAUUCCUGACCGCCCAAAAAGAUUCCAUUGAGUCGGAUUACAAACAUCUGGAAUGUAAGAAUAAGGUGCUGAUUGCAAAGACACAGGGGUUAGAAAUACAGCUUUUCGAUCUGCAGGAUGAAGAGAGCGAAAUGAAACUGAAAGUUGAAAACCAACGGCGUGAAAAUCAGGACGCAAAACAACGUAAGGACGCUUUGGAGGGAACAAAUAAUGAUUUAAAACUGAAAAUCCAGGCCCUCAAUGAAGAGCUCACGUCCAGAGAGUCUUUGGCAGCGCAACUGAAAGUCCAGCAGACUGUUCUGGAGGCACAGCAGCAACAGUUGAUUAAGGCCCACACGGAGGCCACCAGCAAGCUACUGAGCCAAAAAGAAUGGAAGUCUGGCUACGACACACAGAGGGAACUAAAGGACGCCUUGGAGCUGAAGAACAAUGAAUGGAAAGAGAAUAUCCUCAGUCUAACGAACAGUCUCCAAGAUCUGGACGCCUACAAAUCCAACUACAAAUCGAUGAAGACAGAUAUAAAAGUUGCAACCAGACUGAAUAACAAUCUCAAAAAGCAACACAAGGCCCUGGAAAACAAGUUCUCAAAAGAGCAGGAGUAUGAGGAAAAAAACAACGCAAUAAAGUCAGAGAACAUAACCCUGUUGGGUGAAAACUGCACUCUUCAGCGUCAGAUUGAGGAACUGCGGAGCACCCUUCAGGGAACGCAAGCUUUGACUCGUACCUACAACUCCCUGGUGUUGGAUCGAGACGCCAACAAGCGACAGAACAACGGCCUUCUGAGAGAACUUAAGCAGCUCCAUAAAAAGGCCGCUAAAGAAGCGGCUCUGAAGGAGCGCAACGAGGCGACGCGGGCAGAGAACGAGAACGACCGCAGACAAUUGUACUUUCUCCAGGAAAAAGUACGCUCCAAGUCGCAUGUAGAAAGGGAGCCCCAGCAAGCGCAUUGUUCGUGGUUUGAACCCCAGCCGCUCAAUGUCCUGCAACCUACCCAACUGCUCCCUUAGGCCUCCCAUUAAUUAUGGGUAUUUAGGCAUCCAUUGAAGCAUCGUGACUAGCGGGGCUUUCAAAAAAUACCCUGACCUUAACCCUAGUCAGACACAUUACACAAACACAUCACACAAACACACACAUACACAUACAUGUACACAUAAACAAACACACAAUUACUUAGACAUAAACCAUAACAAACACAUAUACAUAAACAAACACACAUACAUAAACAAACAGACAAUUACUUAGACAUAAACCAUAAUAUACGCUAUGGUUUAUGUCUAAGUAAUUGUCUGUUUGUUUAUGUAUGUGUGUUUAUGUACAUUCAAUCAUACAUAAACAAUAACACACACAAACACACAAUUACUUCGACAUACACCAUAAUACAUAUACAUAAACAAUCACACAUACAUUCAAUUAUACAUAAACAAUAACACACACACAUUCAAUUAAACAUAAACAAUAACACACUCACAUAAACAAACACACAUACAUAAACAAACAGACAAUUACUUAGACAUAAACCAUAAUAAACGUUAUGGUUUAUGUCUAAGUAAUUGUCUGUUUGUUUAUGUAUGUGUGUUUAUGUACAUUCAAUCAUACAUAAACAAUAACACACACAUAAACAAACACACUUGCAUUCAAUUAUACAUAAACAAUAACACGCACAUAAACAAACACACAUACAUAAACAAACAGACAAUUACUUGCCACAGAUGGUCUGUAUGGCAAUGCGCUUUUUGCAAGCGGCAUGUUUUUAUAUGCCGUGGGAGAUGCCGAAACUGUAGUUAAAGGCACUGUGGUGGCAGGGUGUGGUUAGCUCAGCUGCAGAGGGGAGAGCGGGGGUGUGGUUCAGGGAACGGUGAUGGCAGGUAGUUAACAAGCACAGCUGAACAACAUCCUGAUUGAUGGUCUCCCCUGUAAAAGCAGUGAGCAGGACUUGAGAAGAGAGAGACUGGAGCAAACGCUCAGGCGUAAGGCCGAGGAGCAGAGCAACAAAGCCACAAAACCUGCUUACUGCAAACGAAAAAUCAAGUAUAUUGCCAAGUAGACCCGUGUGUCCGUGCGUCCUUCGACAAACCCGACGGUAGUAGCUCCAUCAAGGCUUCAUAGGCGCCUGACCAGGGACGAUCGGGAACAUGGAUGGGCAGCACGGUGAGGGAACGGCGCACCCACGUAUUGGAGCAACUGGCAGACCGGCACCGGGUUCCUCGGCGUGCGCAGGAAUGGUGGUCCAUAAGAUGACGGCCACGGACGAGGUCCAGUCGUACCUCAAAAUGUUUGGGUCGAUGGCUGGGGCGUGUGACUGGCCGGAGGACGAGUGGGCGGUCUACCUAUUGCUACUCCUGACCGGGAGACGCUGACGGCGGCCCUGGGUCUGCCACCCGGGCCAGGCACGUUCAUGCCGAUGAGGAUGAAGGAGGGGAGGGCGAUCGUGGACCGGAUAGGGCUGUCGCCCGAAAACCACCUGAGGGCCUUCCGAGAAGCUGGGCUCGGCCCAGGGGACCGGUUGUUUGCAUUCGCCCCGCGGGUGAAGGAUGCAGCAAACAAGUGGCUGGAGCCGGGGGGCGUGGGUAGAGCGUCGGCGGUGGUGGAGAAGGUAGUGGUGGAGCAGCUCCUGGAGGGUCUGCCAUCCCGGACGUCGGCGUGGGUCCGAUACCACCCAUACCGACACUGGAGGUCGCCAUCACCCUGGCCGUGGACCACCUGGCAGUUCAUCCCAGCUGGCAGGGGGGAAACCGAUCAACCGCCAGUAGUAGCACGACCAGUCCCAGCUCCGCGAACGAGGCCCCCACAGCAGACCGUGGCUCAGGCCGUACUGGCCCGCGGCCACUGGCCCUCCCCUGGUUUCCCGAUCCCUCAGGCCCGGCCGGACCCGGCCUUCUUCUGAGAAGAAGAGAGAGUGUCCUACCACCCUUCUGUGCACAACCAAAGUCAAGUCAAAUGGACUCCAGGCACACUGUGACGUCCGAUGUAAGGGUUUUCUUGGUGGUGGAUGGAUGAAGAUGAUGAAGAUGUGGUGGCAGACCGGACAGUACUUCUGGUUCCAGUGAUGGAGCUAUCCAAAAAAAACAGCCUAUGCACACGUGCAGGACAACAAUUCAAUACCAAUCCAACUAGGCCUGCAAGCCGCAUGGCUAAAACAUCACACACAAUAUAACAAGAGUGUACCGACCAUUCUGCAACCUGAGCCUGUCGCCUUUAACUUGGUGUCCUUCUGCCUGCCUGGUUCGGUCUUGCUUUUCCCUG